AUUGAACGCUGGCGGCAUGCUUUACACAUGCAAGUCGAACGGUAACAGGCCUUCGGGUGCUGACGAGUGGCGAACGGGUGCGUAAUGCAUCGGAACGUACCCAGAGGUGGGGGAUAACGCAGCGCAAGCUGUGCUAAUACCGCAUGUGAUCUGAGGAUGAAAGCGGGGGACCGCGCAGCAAUGUUUGGCCUCGCGCCUUUGGAGCGGCCGAUGUCGGAUUAGCUAGUUGGUGGGGUAACGGCCUACCAAGGCGACGAUCCGUAGCUGGUCUGAGAGGACGACCAGCCACACUGGGACUGAGACACGGCCCAGACUCCUACGGGAGGCAGCAGUGGGGAAUUUUGGGCAAUGGGCGAAAGCCUGAUCCAGCAAUGCCGCGUGAGGGAAGAAGGCCUUCGGGUUGUAAACCGCUGUUGGCAGGAACGAAACGGUGUCCGCUAAUACCGGGCGCUAAUGACGGUACCUGCAGAAUAAGCACCGGCUAACUACGUG
rnacentral:rRNA from 1 species